rnacentral:piRNA from 1 species
AGGCAGGUCCUGUCCCCAGAGAUCAGGGGU